GCCGGGCAUGGUGGCGCAUGCCUGUAGUCCCAGCUACUUGGGAGGCUGAGGCAGAAGGAUCGCUUGAGCCCAGGAGUUUGAGGUUGCUGUGGGCUAGGCUGACACCACGGCACUCACUGUGUAGCCUGGGCAACAAAGUGAGACUCUGUCUCAAAAAAAAAAAAAAUCCUGGCACUCAAGGAAUCUGAGGCAGGAGGAUCACUUGAGCCCAGGAGUUCAGGGCCACAGUGAGCUAUGAUUGCCACUGCACUCCAGCCUGGGUGAUAGAGUAAGACCCUAUCUCU
rnacentral:sRNA from 1 species